rnacentral:rRNA from 1 species
UACGGAGGGUGCAAGCGUUAUCCGGAUUCACUGGGUUUAAAGGGUGCGUAGGAGGGCAGGUAAGUCAGUGGUGAAAUCCCCGAGCUUAACUUGGGAACUGCCGUUGAUACUAUCUGUCUUGAAUGUUGUGGAGGUGAGCGGAAUAUGUCAUGUAGCGGUGAAAUGCUUAGAUAUGAACAUAGUAACACCAAUUGCGAAGGCAGCU